rnacentral:tRNA from 1 species
GUUUUAGUAGUUUAUAUAAAACACUGGUCUUGUAAACCAAUAAUAAGAUUAUCUUCUAAAACU